GACGUAGGAGGCGAGCGUUGUCCGGAUUCAUUGGGCGUAAAGAGCGCGCAGGCGGCUUGGUAAGUCGGAUGUGAAAUCCCGAGGCUCAACCUCGGGUCUGCAUCCGAUACUGCCCGGCUAGAGGUAGGUAGGGGAGAUCGGAAUUCCUGGUGUAGCGGUGAAAUGCGCAGAUAUCAAGUGGAACACCAGUGGCGAAGGCGAGUCCCUGGACAACUCCUGACACUGAGGCACGAAAGCUAGGGGAGCAAACAGG
rnacentral:rRNA from 1 species